rnacentral:tRNA from 1 species
GGGCGGGUACCCUAGUGGCCAAAGGGAGCAGACUGUAAAUCUGCCGGCGAUGCCUUCGGAGGUUCGAAUCCUUCCCCGCCCACCA